rnacentral:rRNA from 1 species
GACGAACGCUGGCGGCGUGCUUAACACAUGCAAGUCGAACGGAAAGGCCCCUUUGGGGGUACUCGCUUGGCGGACGGGCGGGUAACACGUGCGUAACCUGCCCUUCCUUUCCGGUUAACUUCAGGAAACUGGGGCUAAUACAGGCCAGGUAUCCUUGCCGCAUGGAGGGGGUUGGUAAGCUUCGGCGGGUUUGGGUGGACUCGCGGCUUGUUUGCUUGUUGGUUGGGUGGUGGCUUACCAAGGCUUUGAUGGGUAGCCGGCCUGGGGGGGGGACCGGCCACAAUGGGACUGGGGUACGGGCCAGACUCCUACGGGGGGCAACAGGGGGGAAUAUUGCAAAAUGGGCGGAAGGCCGAUGCAACAACGCCGCGGGCGGGAUGACGGGCUUUGGGUUGGAAACCGGCUUCAGCAGGGGAGAAGCUGGUGGUGACGGUAACUGGAGAAGAAGCACCGGCUAACUACGUG